GGCUGACAAAAUAUAUACAGAAUAAAGACAGAAAUGGUUUAGGAAAAACUCGCUUAAGUGAAACGAAGCGAGAGCAAAACGAGGGCUUACCUAGUGCGAUAGCACGAAGAAAGAAGAGGCUUGGUCUUGGCUCUGCACGUGGUUAUAUACCUUGUCUCUUAAUUUGCAUAAUAAUUUAUCUUUAAAACGUGGGCGCCUUGCGCAUGCGCAAGAAAGUACGCAUAAUAAGGGCAUAAUAUCGAGUAUGGUGAAAGAGAAGUCAUAAUUAUGAGGAUGUCAAGUAAAAAGGACUGGUAUAUAUGGCUCUGGCAUUUUUCUGCACUUCUGCUAGUGGAAAUGAGAUUUGGACACUGGGAAGUGGGAUUUUGGGAAAAAAGUUUUGGUAAUUGGGAUUGGCACUCCCUUCAGGACCCUCUAGACUGUAAGCUUAUGAACACCGUUGUUUUUAAUUAUUCCCAAAACAGAAUUAUGUUCCUUAGCGCUGAGUAUAUGGCCCUAUUCUAAUACAUCAAACCACAUGGUGCGUUCAUCAAUAUACCGCGUACACCUCCUGGUGCACAUGAUCAAAGUUUCACUUUGUUUACCAAAAAAAUUUAGAGCACUAACGAAAUUAACUCAUUCCCCUGAAGAUAUCCUAGCCGAUCAUUGUCAAUUAAGUCCAAGAAAGAUGGUGAAAGAGUUCGUUUUUUUCUUUCGAGUGCUUUGUGUCGCCGUCACUUUUAGAUCAACGUCUUCAGAAGUUCUUCAAGUUGCGGUAGCGAACAAGUCUCUACAUCGAACACCAGAAUUCGGCUUUGCUUACUUCGUUUUUCAGCCAAACAGUAAACUAGAGAUAGAAUACCCCAGUCAGUUCCACGCUCCGAACUACAAGCCGUGUGCACUUGCCUGUGCCAGGAACAUGACUUGUCUAUCGUUCAACUUUGGGAAAAAGCCCCUCUUCCUUUACCAAGGGCAAGCUCAGUACCUCUGUGAGCUGUUGCCGACUGAUAAAUACAACUCUUCGUCCAAGUAUCAAAGUCAAAACUCAGAUUUUGAUCACUACAGCAUCAGGUCGAACUGCAGCAAGUCCCCCUGUCUUCACAAUUUUACUUGUAUUGCAAACUAUACUGAAGAUACUUAUGAAUGUUCGUGCCCGAGACCUGCAUUUGAAGGCAAACACUGCAAUGAUGUUGAUGAAUGUACUACAGGGCAGCAUAACUGUGGUCCAAAUGCAACUUGUACCAACAUUGUCGGCUCAUACAACUGCGAGAUAACAUCAUGCACCUACGAAAAGGCACUCGGAAUGGAAAGCAGAGAAAUACCAGAUUCUUCAAUAACAGCCUCCUCUUCAUGGGGUGGUGGAGAUUCAGGAAACCAGGCCAGAUUGAACAAUAAUCCAGCUCACUGGGCACCAUCUUCCAGUCGAGUCGGGGAAUGGCUGCAGGUAGACUUUGGCAGGCUGACACUCGUAACCAAAGUUGUUACACAAGGAAGACCAUAUUCACCGGAAAUGUACAUGACUAGUUACUUGUUGUCGUACAGACGAGAGAAUGAAAACUGGACAAGCUACGUGCAUACCUCUUUUGGUGGAACACUUCCUGGUAACAUCAAUUAUUAUGGUACCGUCACAAACACCCUAGAUCCAAAGAUCACCACAAGAUACAUACGUAUCCAUCCUCAAACAUGGCACCAGGAUAUUACUAUACGGGUGGAAUUCUAUGGAUGUUACCUGUCUUAAAUCUAUCCGGCAUACACAUCUGGUUGCAAGGCGCAAUAGGCCUUUUGCAACAAUAGUUCACGUGACCUUACCCCCUUAAAAAGAGAGGUUGUGUCGAAAUGAAAAAAGCACCUCGAUAUUAGUAAGAAGGCAAAGUUUCAGCUUAUGACAUAUAACACAGGAGAAAUGGCAUUCCAUACAGCCAGCUAGCACAUUUCCCAUACAAAUUCUUAUAAAAUAUUUGAUUUUAUAUUCGAUGCCAUUUCUUCAAUAGUCAACAUUAUGAGAUAAAACGUUGCCUUCUUACUUAUAUCGAGGUCCUGUUUUCAUUUGUUUUUAGGGGUAGCGUCACGUGACCUGUCGUUGCAAAAAGCCUAAUCAUGCACUAGCUGCUACGAAUGACUCUUAAUUUCUGAUUGGUUACUAUCAAUGUUCUAUAAACGCAACAUACUAUACCAUCAUUAUUCUUUUUUUCGAAUUGGAAUUUUACAGAUUUAAUAAUUGCCCCUUGACUUCAAAGACAAAGAAUAUAGGUUGCUAUCAAUAGACGUGAUUUCAGGUCACGUAUUGCGUAAAGGAAGGCUUAUCAGCCUCACCGCUCACGAACACUUUAUUUUUGUAUGUAUUAUUGGUUACGUCAUAUCCGUAACGUUUCACUUAGUCAUUACACGUCUCAAUUGCCCUAUUUCACUAUGUCGUCACUGCUUGUUUAUAGCUCUUCAUUCAGCUCACUUACAUGCAGAUUUACCCCUUUCAUGCAGCGUUGAGUCAUCAGCAUACAUGUCAAUAUUUGAGUCUGUUGAUAGAGGUAACAGCUGCGAGGAUACUGGCUUCCAUCCUGAGAAGAAGGGCCAGUACCUCAAACAUCACGUCAUUGAUACCAUGACAACCGAAACUGCGUCCUUGUGUCGCAUCAUGUGUUAUCUACAAGAGUCUUGCAAGUCAUACAACUAUCAACCAAGCAAUGGAUCCUGUGAGCUUAGUGACUCAGAUGAAACCGAACAUCCUUAUGAUCUUGUUCUCAAUCCUGAACAUGUCUACGUUAGCAGAAAGAACCCUUGUGAAAAUAAUUAAUGUCCUCGGCAUAGUGUCUGCAAGCCGAAUUUGAUGAACGGAAGUCACAGCUGCCCGUGCUCUCGUGGCUAUGAAGGUCCAAAUUGUAAUGAAGAUAUUAAUGAAUGUGAGACUAGCAAACACGACUGUCCAAGCGACUUUAAAUGCAUCAAUACUGAGGGGUCCUUUACUUACGAGAAGUUAUUUGGAGGGGAAAACGUCAGUUCAGGUAAUAUUGUCACAUAGAAAAAAUGUUCCAGCCUCAAAUACUAGGAAAAGAGAAUAAAUAAUAAAUAUAUAUUAAUUAUAAUAAUUACUAUAAUAAAAAAAAGCUCACAAAUUUGAGCCCUGAAACAAUCUCUGAGCUGAGACCUUAUCCGCAAAAAACUCACAGAUCGAACCCAGAAACAACCUCUGGGCUGAUCAAAGACAGGACUUGGCUAACUCACACCAAGAACCCUGAUACAACCUCUGAGCUGAUUAUACCCUGAAACAACCUCUGGGCUGAUCUAAGUCAGGGCACGGCUAACUCACAGAUGAAAUCCUGAUACAACCUCUGAGCUAAUCUAAGUCAGGGCAAGGCUAACUCACAAAUUGAACCCUGAAACAACCUUUUGGAUGAUCAAAGUCAGGGCAUGGCUAACUCACAGAUCGAACCCUGAAACAACCUCUUGACUGAUCUAAGUCAUGGUGAGCGAACAGAGAACUUACAGAUCGAACAAGGAUUUACAGUAUUUCCUGACAGGCGAGUUCACUUCUGGCCACUACGCCACCCUUAAUUCCCUAAAACUAAACCUUUGUGCACAUUGUUCCUGACCUACAUUUUGGCUGCCUUGAAACUUCUCUAUCCCCUAGUCACCAAACUUUACAAAUGAAUUGGCAAGAAAACAAUGAACAACAAACACUACAAGAAUGCUAGGCUUUUUUUUUUUUUUUUUUUUU